UACGUAGGUGGCGAGCGUUAUCCGGAAUUAUUGGGCGUAAAGCGCGUGCAGGCGGUUUCUUAAGUCUGAUGUGAAAGCCCACGGCUCAACCGUGGAGGGUCAUUGGAAACUGGGAGACUUGAGUGCAGAAGAGAAGAGUGGAAUUCCACGUGUAGCGGUGAAAUGCGUAGAGAUGUGGAGGAACACCAGUGGCGAAGGCGGCGAGCUGGCCUGUACCUGACGCUGAGACGCGAAAGCGUGGGGAGCAAACAGG
rnacentral:rRNA from 1 species